AGUGAACGCUGGCGGUAGGCCUAACACAUGCAAGUCGAACGGCAGCACAGGAGAGCUUGCUCUCUGGGUGGCGAGUGGCGGACGGGUGAGGAAUACAUCGGAAUCUACCUUUUCGUGGGGGAUAACGUAGGGAAACUUACGCUAAUACCGCAUACGACCCACGGGUGAAAGUGGGGGACCGCAAGGCCUCACGCGAUUAGAUGAGCCGAUGUCCGAUUAGCUAGUUGGCGGGGUAAUGGCCCACCAAGGCGACGAUCGGUAGCUGGUCUGAGAGGAUGAUCAGCCAAACUGGAACUGAGACACGGUCCAGACUCCUACGGGAGGCAGCAGUGGGGAAUAUUGGACAAUGGGCGCAAGCCUGAUCCAGCCAUACCGCGUGGGUGAAGAAGGCCUUCGGGUUGUAAAGCCCUUCUGUUGGGAAAGAAAUCCUGUCGAUUAAUACUCGGUGGGGAUGACGGUACCCAAAGAAUAAGCACCGGCUAACUUCGUGCCAGCCGCCGCCGUAACAC
rnacentral:rRNA from 1 species